rnacentral:lncRNA from 1 species
CCAGUCGAGCUCCUACAGUGGGCGGAUCUCAAACGAGCUUCUACAACGGGACAGGCUCCACCGACCAGAUUACUACUCCGAGCUUCCACGAUAACUGAUCUUCGAUCGAGCUUUUACAAUAAGCGGCCUCCUUUCAGCCUUCUAUAAGAAUCAGACUCCGUCUGAACUUUCAAAGCGGAUGGAUUUCAGACGAACUUCUACAACAGACGGGCUCCAGCAGCUAGAUUUCUACAACGAUCGAUCGCAUCCGGUGUCUGCUGUACCUCCCUAGCCAUCAACCUUCAAUAGCAUCAGUCGGACUUCAAC